UCCAUGCCUUAGAACGGUUGUUUUUCUACACAGCGUGAUUCUGUAGGUUGUCUGGGCUCAGCGAGGUGGUUUCUGCUUAGCAGUCUUCUGGGACUGCAGUUAUCCAGGGGUCCAGCUGGUUUGGGCUGUGCAAUGGAGCACUCAAUGGCAGCAGCUGGUGCUGGGCCACCACAGGAAACACUCUGAAACCUCAGCAGGCACCCUUGGUUCUCCUCUGCAUGGCGUCUCUCUGUGGCCUGAGCAUCUCCCAGCAUGGCAGCCAGCUUCGAAGAGGAAGAAAGCCCCGACUGCCAGUUCUCCUAAGGGAUGGGUACAGGAGAAAAAUCAUUUCUUUGCUCAAAGCAAUAUGCUUGUUUUUCUAAUUCUUUCAACAUCUACCAGAACGGAUGUUUCUGAAGCCUGCAUUGGACCCUGACUGUCACAGACAUAAACUCUCAAAGGUGUCUCCGUGGAUGGACCCCAGGAGCAACUCAGAUGCAAACACUGCCACAAGCAAGCACGUGAGGACAUCUCCCAGAUGUGUCGCUUACCAGCAGAGGACACUGUGGUUUGACCACUGAAAGUCAAGAGAAACAGACUCAAACCGUUGCUCCGCCUGAAAGAAUAAGG
ensembl:processed_transcript Gm13791 predicted gene 13791